rnacentral:snRNA from 1 species
UUAGCUUUGCGCAGUGGCGGUACCAUAGCCAAUGAGGUUCAUCCGAGGCGUGGUUAUUGCUAGUUGAAAACUAAUCCCAAUACCCCGCGCUGACGCCCUUCACUGGGCGGCAUGCGCAAUUUUUGCUAGCUCCUACGGGAGCCU